AUGAGGAGCUACAACCCAGACUGACCACAGCCGGCACCUCCAGAGGUCGUCAGAGAGGGCGCGUCCAGUCUGACGCUCAGAACUCUUGGUAUGAAGACGUGGAGGAGGAUGAGAGGAGACCCAUCUCCGUUGCUUCUCUGAGAGAGCCGACGGUUGAGUACUAUGAUGAUGUGACUGCUGAUGAUAAUGAGACCAACC